rnacentral:rRNA from 1 species
ACGCUGGCGGCGUGCCUAAUACAUGCAAGUAGAACGCUGAAGGAGGAGCUUGCUUCUCUGGAUGAGUUGCGAACGGGUGAGUAACGCGUAGGUAACCUGCCUGGUAGCGGGGGAUAACUAUUGGAAACGAUAGCUAAUACCGCAUAACAGUAGAUGUUGCAUGACAUUUGCUUAAAAGGUGCAAUUGCAUCACUACCAGAUGGACCUGCGUUGUAUUAGCUAGUUGGUGGGGUAACGGCUCACCAAGGCGACGAUACAUAGCCGACCUGAGAGGGUGAUCGGCCACACUGGGACUGAGACACGGCCCAGACUCCUACGGGAGGCAGCAGUAGGGAAUCUUCGGCAAUGGACGGAAGUCUGACCGAGCAACGCCGCGUGAGUGAAGAAGGUUUUCGGAUCGUAAAGCUCUGUUGUAAGAGAAGAACGAGUGUGAGAGUGGAAAGUUCACACUGUGACGGUAUCUUACCAGAAAGGGACGGCUAACUACGUGCCAGCAGCCGCGGUAAUACGUAGGUCCCGAGCGUUGUCCGGAUUUAUUGGGCGUAAAGCGAGCGCAGGCGGUUAGAUAAGUCUGAAGUUAAAGGCUGUGGCUUAACCAUAGUACGCUUUGGAAACUGUUUAACUUGAGUGCAAGAGGGGAGAGUGGAAUUCCAUGUGUAGCGGUGAAAUGCGUAGAUAUAUGGAGGAACACCGGUGGCGAAAGCGGCUCUCUGGCUUGUAACUGACGCUGAGGCUCGAAAGCGUGGGGAGCAAACAGGAUUAGAUACCCCGGUAGUCCACGCCGUAAACGAUGAGUGCUAGGUGUUAGACCCUUUCCGGGGUUUAGUGCCGCAGCUAACGCAUUAAGCACUCCGCCUGGGGAGUACGACCGCAAGGUUGAAACUCAAAGGAAUUGACGGGGGCCCGCACAAGCGGUGG